GCUCUGUUCCACAUACUGAGCACAGGCGUCGUUUGAAAGCGAUGCUUGGUAGAGAACCAACUCCUGUUGAAUUGCAUAGUCGCACUCAUAAGCGAUAGGAGGAUCAACAGUGGAUUGAUGAGAGAUCAAGAAAAGCCUAUGAGGAUUAUACACGGCUUCGAGAGACUCAUGCCGCAUCAGGUGAGGGCUCUUCUGGCGGCUCUGUGGAGUAUUCUGAGUAUCGCAUCUGGUCGCAGGCCGUCGGAGGAAUGCAGCAUGGUAGAGUAUAUGGCUUAGGUGCGCAAGCUCAGGCAUACGAGGGGAUGACAUCCUCUACUGCAUCCAGCUUCGCAUCCAGUUCGCAUGAGUCCUUACAAGCUCAACAAAUAAGUGCCCUUCAAGCUGAGCUAGAACAAGUAAGGAAAUCACAAGCUGAUUGGCAAGCUCAGCUGCAAGCACAGGUUCAAGCUCAGCUGCAAGCACAGGUUCAAACAAGUAUUCAGCAACACAAUCAGUUGUUGGAUGAAAUGCGCAAGAUGAGGGAGCAGCUGAGUGGAAAAGACGUAGCUCCACCUGAGGAGGAGUCCACGGAGUCAGAGUAGUUUAAUUUAGUUUAUAUGAACUUGUUUAUUUCUGUGAACAUGUUUUAUUGAACAGUUUCUUUUAAUGUGAUGUUUUUAGUUGAUUGUUAGUACUGAACUGUUUCUUUUAAUGUUAUAAACUGUUGUGAAACUGUGGUGAAAUUGAUAUGUUGUAAUGUUACAAUUGAAAUGUUGUAGAAUUGAUAUUUGUAUAAGUUUGCAGGUGUGUAAAUUUGAUUGUUGGCUGGGGAGGAAAAUUUUUUUUUGUCAAUGCUACAGGUUUCCGGCUGAUUUUGCGCCGGAAUUUCGCCGGAAAAGACGAUACUAUGAAUUGUAGCGUACGUAUCGACGUCUUUGUUCUGUCGAAAAUUACCGGCGCAUGUACCGGCGCUAUAUGCGCCGGUAUUUACCGGCGUAUACUUUACGUCGCAAGCGAAAUCGGGGGUUUCUACGUCACACUUUGCGGCGUUUUAUCCGCCGGUAAGGUCCGGUGCAUAAUGCGACACUAAUUACCGGCGCAUAUGGCGCCGGAAUUAAGACGUUUUUUAACGUCGACAACUAUCCAUUUUUUCGACGGUAAUGCGUCGGAAACUACGCCGGAGAACUUUCCGGUGCAAAUUAUGCGCCGGAAAGAAAUUAUCGACGCGACUUAAACCGGCGGACAAAUAUACACCGAAACAUGCGACGGAAACUAUAUUUUCCGUCGUAUUUUUAAUUUUGCCGGCGGAUUUUGUCCACCGGUAAUAAGGGGUUUUCCUGUAGUGAGAGUGAGGAGAUAACAUGCCAAUCCAAAAGUAUACUGAAGCACAAGCACAAGUGUGAACAAAACUGGAGCAAAGAUAAAAUGGUAAAAAUGUUAAGUUUUUUUUUGAAGUUAUUUACUUUGGGAGUAGGAAAUCCAAACAUAUGAAAUUUGAAUGCACAAAUUUAAAAACUUAUCCUGAAAAGAAAAAUGGAGAAAAUAAGAAAAAUGCAAUAAAGGAAAAUGAUAAGAAGCAAAAAAUCUCUUAGAUAGACUUAGCAUCUGAAUCAUCAGAAUAUGAGCAAGAUGAUGAGGUAACAAACUUAUGUUAAAUCAUCAAAGGUUCAAUUGUUAAUUCCUAUGUUGCACCGAUACGGAUACGGCGAUACGGAUACGAGGCGAUACGGAUAUGGGACACGCCAAUUCUUAAAAAUACAAGAUACGGAUACGACGUGGAUAUGUCAUUAUAAUAUAUAAAUAAUACAUAAAAAUUAAGAAAGUAAUCAAAAUGUAAUAUUUGAAAU